rnacentral:pre_miRNA from 1 species
CUCUCUGUUGUCCUCAUUGUACAUGCUGUGUGUAUUUGUGUCGCUUACACAGCGCGUGCAAUGUGGACAUCGUGGAG